AACGAACGCUGGCGGCAGGCCUAACACAUGCAAGUCGAGCGCCCCGCAAGGGGAGCGGCGGACGGGUGAGUAACGCGUGGGAACGUGCCCUUUGCUACGGAAUAGCCCCGGGAAACUGGGAGUAAUACCGUAUAAGCCCUACGGGGGAAAGAUUUAUCGGCAAAGGAUCGGCCCGCGUUGGAUUAGGUAGUUGGUGGGGUAAUGGCCUACCAAGCCGACGAUCCAUAGCUGGUUUGAGAGGAUGAUCAGCCACACUGGGACUGAGACACGGCCCAGACUCCUACGGGAGGCAGCAGUGGGGAAUCUUAGACAAUGGGCGCAAGCCUGAUCCAGCCAUGCCGCGUGAGUGAUGAAGGCCUUAGGGUUGUGAAGCACUUUCACCGAUGAAGAUAAUGACGGUAGUCGGAGAAGAAGCCCCGGCUAACUUCGUGCCAGCCGCCGCAGUAACAC
rnacentral:rRNA from 1 species